CGCGUAGGCGGAUAGUACAGUCAGGCGUGAAAUUCCUGGGCUCAACCUGGGGGCUGCGUUUGAUACGUAUUGUCUGGAGUGCGGAAGAGGGUCGUGGAAUUCCCAGUGUAGAGGUGAAAUUCGUAGAUAUUGGGAAGAACACCGGUGGCGAAGGCGGCGACCUGGUCCGAUACUGACGCUGAGGCGCGAAAGCGUGGGGAGCAAACA
rnacentral:rRNA from 1 species